rnacentral:siRNA from 1 species
UUUACAAUGGUUGCCACUGGA